CGGCAUGCCUUACACAUGCAAGUCGAACGGUAACAGGUCUUCGGAUGCUGACGAGUGGCGAACGGGUGAGUAAUACAUCGGAACGUGCCCGAUCGUGGGGGAUAACGGAGCGAAAGCUUUGCUAAUACCGCAUACGAUCUACGGGAGAAAGCAGGGGACCUUCGGGCCUUGCGCUAUCAGAUGAGCCUAGGUCGGAUUAGCUAGUUGGUGGGGUAAAGGCUCACCAAGGCGACGAUCCGUAACUGGUCUGAGAGGAUGAUCAGUCACACUGGAACUGAGACACGGUCCAGACUCCUACGGGAGGCAGCAGUGGGGAAUAUUGCACAAUGGGGGAAACCCUGAUGCAGCAACGCCGCGUGGAGGCUGACGCAUUUCGGAGUGUAAACUCCUUUUAUAAGGGAAGAUAAAGACG
rnacentral:rRNA from 1 species